CUGCGUUUGGUCUGGCACUCGUUCAACUUGUUGGCAGCCUGCAUCAGUAAUUCAGAAUUUUUACUGGCUUUCCUGAGGAAAAGCAUCAGCGUGUCCCUGCUGAGCCAGCAGCGCUUCUGCCUCCGGUGCCCGCUGCCCUAAGGGUCAGGAUGAGCAAAGGGAAGGGCUCCUGGCACCCCUGCACUGUCAGGUUACUCAGGAAAGGCAAGCACAGAGCUGUGAGCACCUUUGUCAGACUGAAUGCUGUGAUGUGCCCAGGCACUCAGGUGCUUGUGGCUGCCUUUGAUGGAAGCCGUUGCAGGGCUGAGCCCAGGCUGGCUGCAGCCUGUGUUCCCACCACUCCUGCAGUGUUCC